AUGGAAUCUUUUUCUUUUCAUGCAAUGUUAACAAGGAACCUAUCCAAUGACACUUGUGUUUGCCUCCUUUUGAGAAUUUCACGGAAAUGUGGUGAUGUU